UCACUUUCAGCUUGCAGAGGAGCACGGGGUCAAGUUCAUGGAAUCCAGUGCCAAGUCUGGACUGAACGUUGAUUCGGCAUUCUUGGCACUUGCGAAGGAUAUUAAGAAUAAAAUGGACAGGAAAUCAGUAACAGAUCAGCAGCCGGCCUAUUCAAGUGGAGUCAGAGUUGGGGACUCCGCAGAGAAGGAGGGGAAGAAAGGAGGCUGUUGCUAGGCUGAAACUUUUUAGUGAAAGCUGGUUGAAUCUUUUAACACCAAAAUUUUCUUGUCAUUCUCUCAAAACUGUUGUACGUGUAGUAAAAUCUACGUAUAUACGUGCACUAUAGUUCUUUUGUUUUUUGCCUAAAAUUAAUUUUUACUGUUGUGCACUAUAGAAAUUUAAUAUUUUAUGUGUUCUAAUUAUAUGACUGUGUUGUAUCAGCUUC